UACGGGGGGGGCAAGCGUUGUUCGGAAUUACUGGGCGUAAAGGGCUCGUAGGCGGCCAACUAAGUCGGACGUGAAAUCCCUCGGCUUAACCGGGGAACUGCGUCCGAUACUGGAUGGCUUGGAUUCGGGAGAGGGAUGCGGAAUUCCAGGUGUAGCGGUGAAAUGCGUAGAUAUCUGGAGGAACACCGGUGGCGAAGGCGGCAUCCUGGACCGAUAUUGACGCUGAGGAGCGAAAGCCAGGGGAGCAAACGGG
rnacentral:rRNA from 1 species